GACGAACGCUGGCGGCGUGCUUAACACAUGCCAGUCGAACGGAAAGGCCCCUUUGGGGGUACUCGAGUGGCGAACGGGUGAGUAACACGUGAGUAACCUGCCCUUGACUUCGGGAUAACUUCAGGAAACGGGGGCUAAUACCGGAUAGGAAUCAUUGCUGCAUGGUGGGGGUUGGAAAGCUUCGGCGGUUUUGGAUGGACUCGCGGCUUAUCAGCUUGCUGGGGGGGUAGUGGGUUACCAAGGCGUGGACGGGUAGCCGGCCUGAGGGGGCGACCGGCCACAUUGGGACUGAGAUGCGGCCCAGGCUCCUACGGGUGGCAGAAGGGGGGAAUAUUGCAGGAUCGGCGGAAGCCUGGUGCAGAAGCGCCGCGGGCGGGAUGACGGUCUUCGGGUUGUAAACCGCUUUCAGCAGGGGCGAAGCUUGUGGUGACGGUACCUGCAGAAGAAGCACCGGCUAACUACGUG
rnacentral:rRNA from 1 species